rnacentral:rRNA from 1 species
AUUCCAGCUCCAAUAGCGUAUAUUAAAGUUGUUGCGGUAAAAAAGCUCGUAGUUGGAUUUCUGUUGAGGGCGUCCGGUCCGUACCCCGUACGCGUAUCUGGGUCGCGCUCGGCAUCCUCUCGAAGAACGGUUCUCGCGCUUGAUUGCGUGGUCCGGGUUUCGGGACUUUUACUUUGAGGAAAUUAGAGUGUUCACGGCAGGCAAUUGCCCGGAUACAUUAGCAUGGAAUAAUACUAUAGGAUUUUGGUUCUAUUUUGUUGGUUUCUAGGACUAAAAUAAUGAUUAAUAGGGACAAUUGGGGGCAUUCGUAUCAACACGCUAGAGGUGAAAUUCUUGGAUUGUGUUGCGACGAACUACUGCGAAAGCAUUUGCCAAGGAUGUUUUCAUCG